rnacentral:rRNA from 1 species
CAGAGGGUGCAAGCGUUAAUCGGAAUUACUGGGCGUAAAGCGUGCGUAGACGGUUACAUAAGUCGGGUGUGAAAGCCCCGGGCUCAACCUGGGAAUUGCAUUCGAGACUGCGUAGCUAGGGUGCGGAAGAGGGAAGCGGAAUUUCCGGUGUAGCGGUGAAAUGCGUAGAUAUCGGAAGGAACACCAGUGGCGAAAGCGGCUUCCUGGUCCAGCACCGACGUUCAGGCACGAAAGCGUGGGGAGCAAACAGGAUUAGAUACCCUGGUAGUCCACGCCAUAAACGAUGAGAACUAGACGUUGAAGGGGUAAGCCCUCCAGUGUCGUAGCUAACGCGCUAAGUUCUCCGCCUGGGGAGUACGGCCGCAAGGUUG